rnacentral:rRNA from 1 species
UACGUAGGGGGCAAGCGUUGUCCGGAAUCAUUGGGCGUAAAGCGCGCGUAGGCGGCCCGGUAAGUCCGCUGUGAAAGUCAAAGGCUCAACCCUUUGAAUGCCGGGUGGAUACUGCCGGGCUAGAGUCCGGAAGAGGCGAGUGGAAUUCCUGGUGUAGCGGGUGGAAUGCGCAGAUAUCAGGAGGAACACCAAUAGCGAAGGCAGCUCGCUGGGACGGUACUGACGCUCGAGGCGCGAAAGCGUGGGGAGCGAACAGG